CCUACGGGAGGCAGCAGUGGGGAAUAUUGGACAAUGGACCAAGAGUCUGAUCCAGCAAUUCCGUGUGCACGAUGAAGUUUUUCGGAAUGUAAAGUGCUUUCAGUUGGGAAGAAAAAAAUGACGGUACCAACAGAAGAAGUGACGGCUAAAUGCGUGCCAGCAGCCGCGGUAAU
rnacentral:rRNA from 1 species